GACGAACGCUGGCGGCGCGCCUAACACAUGCAAGUCGAACGAGCGAGAGAGAGCUUGCUUUCUCGAGCGAGUGGCGAACGGGUGAGUAACGCGUGAGGAACCUGCCUCAAAGAGGGGGACAACAGUUGGAAACGACUGCUAAUACCGCAUAAGCCCACGGUGCCGCAUGGCACAGAGGGAAAAGGAGCAAUCCGCUUUGAGAUGGCCUCGCGUCCGAUUAGCUAGUUGGUGAGGUAAUGGCCCACCAAGGCGACGAUCGGUAGCCGGACUGAGAGGUUGAACGGCCACAUUGGGCCUGAGACACGGCCCAGACUCCUACGGGAGGCAGCAGUGGGGAAUAUUGCACAAUGGGGGAAACCCUGAUGCAGCGACGCCGCGUGGAGGAAGAAGGUCUUCGGAUUGUAAACUCCUGUUGUUGGGGAAGAUAAUGACGGUACCCAACAAGGAAGAGACGGCUAACUACGUA
rnacentral:rRNA from 1 species